AAUGAAUAAUAUCGUUUCUUUCCGCUUCUUUUUUUACUUUAGCGCCUGAACUCAGGGGGCUUUGCGCGUAAAAAAGAAACGAAAAGUAACGCCGUAAGCCUCCAGUUUGGAGGCUUUUUUGUU
rfam:Morganella morganii subsp. morganii KT, complete genome.